GACGAACGCUGGCGGCGUGCCUAACACAUGCAAGUUGAGCGACGAACCAGGGCUUGCCCUGGGGCAAAGCAGCGAACGGGUGAGUAACACGUGGGUAACCUACCCCGAUAACCGGGACAACCCGAGGAAACUCGGGCUAAUACCGGAUGUGCUCACUGGACUUCGGUUCAGUGCGUAAAGGAAGCUUCGGCCUCCGUAUCGGGAGGGGCCCGCGGCCCAUUAGUUUGUUGGUGAGGUAACGGCUCACCAAGACCGCGAUGGGUAGCUGGUCUGAGAGGACGAUCAGCCACACUGGGACUGAGACACGGCCCAGACUCCUACGGGAGGCAGCAGUGGGGAAUCUUGCGCAAUGGGCGAAAGCGUGACGCAGCAACGCCGCGUGGGGGAAGAAGGCCUUCGGGUUGUAAACCCCUUUCAGGAGGGACGAAGGUGCGGCGGUGAAUAGCCGUCCGGACUGACGGUACCUCCACAAGAAGCCCCGGCUAACUACGUG
rnacentral:rRNA from 1 species